GACGAACGCUGGCGGCGUGCCUAAUACAUGCAAGUCGAACGGUCUUUUCUAUGGAAGCUUGCUUCCACUGAGAAGAUAGUGGCGAACGGGUGAGUAACACGUGGGUAACCUGCCCAUAAGAGGGGGAUAACAUCCGGAAACGGGUGCUAAUACCGCAUAGUUUUUCUGAUCGCAUGAUCGGGAAAGGAAAGACGGCCUUUGUGCUGUCGCUUAUGGAUGGACCCGCGGCGUAUUAGUUAGUUGGUGAGGUAACGGCUCACCAAGACGAUGAUACGUAGCCGACCUGAGAGGGUGAUCGGCCACAUUGGGACUGAGACACGGCCCAAACUCCUACGGGAGGCAGCAGUAGGGAAUCUUCCGCAAUGGACGAAAGUCUGACGGAGCAACGCCGCGUGAGUGAAGAAGGUUUUCGGAUCGUAAAACUCUGUUGUCAGAGAAGAACAAGUCGGAGAGUAACUGCUCCGGCCUUGACGGUAUCUGACCAGAAAGCCACGGCUAACUACGUGCCAGCAGCCGCCGUAAUAC
rnacentral:rRNA from 1 species